rnacentral:lncRNA from 10 species
UGAAAUGGAACAGAAAAAUAACUUUCUGGCUUGCAGUGUCCUGGAUUUGCAGGCGGCAAGUUUCACUGACUCUUGCUUCUCCCUCUCCUUGGAGCAUGCGAACCUUGGUGGGUGCUGGCUGGCCUGCACCAGAGAUGCAGUGGGGGAUGCAGCUUCCACCAGGGUGUGGGGGAUGCACUUUCUGGAAGAAAGGGCAACAGCCAUACCUUCUUCCAGCAGCUCCUGUGGCCACCUCCAGGUCAGAGUGAGCCCCCGGCAGGCCCCAGGCUGGCUCUGAGGCUGAUGCAGCAGGUUCAGUUAUUCUGCUGUGGCCUGAAUGUGAGUUUCUCUUCACUUCAUCACAUUUUGGCUUCAACACUGAACAGAUUUCAAAGACCACCUGAAGUUCCCUGUCUCCAGGACGUCUCUCCUGAUUUCUCAUUUCUGGAGUGAUUGUGAAGAGAGCCAAGUUUACCAGUUGUUUAUAAUUUCACUCCAGAGGCCAGAACGUCAUUUGGAAUUCUUCGGCCUUUACAUCCAAUGAUACAGUUGGGGCCGUUCAUCCAUUCCUCAACAAGCAUCUGCUGAAGGCCUGGUGAGAGCCAGGAACCAGCCGUGGAGUGGGGUGGGAGUGCCCAGGAACCAUCAUAAUCAUUUUGAAAACCACCAAGAGGAGAGCUGCCAACCAUCAACACCUGCUCCCCAGCAGAGCUGAGGUUUCUCUGCAGCCGCCUCCCUUUCAAGAGCAAGCCCAUGAUGUUGUCCUCAUCCGGAAGAUCCCUGCCUAUCCUGCCUGAAAACAGCCCAUUGAGAGCAAAGGUGACUGCACUGCCUGCCAUCCUCAGAUACAGAAACAUUCCUGGAGCGGGACAGCCUCCUGGGAGUGUUUACAGAACAGAGGGGAUGG